GAUAUGGACCCUAUCAAAUAUAGGCCCUAGUACUAAUUAAAAUGCAAGUAUUACGUUAUUGUAGAUGAUAUAUGAUUUACUGGUGGUUUAAUGACAGGAUUAUAAUUUAUUUUGUUGUAUUUUAGUAAUAACAUGCAUUACUUAUGUACUUUUGAGAAUUGUAGUCUAUGUUGCUAGAUUUAAACUUGAACUUCGUUAACUUUUUUAUUUUAGACAUUGUUUUAGACGAUCAUGAAUUUUUCUUUAUGUAAAAAUUCUUGCGAAAUAUUGACUUGCAAAAAGUAAUCAACAGAACUGUUAUUCAUUUAAUCUAGAUAAAUUUUAUUUUAUUCUUUUCUGCUUUCAAUAAACUGAUUAAAG
rnacentral:sRNA from 1 species